rnacentral:misc_RNA from 1 species
CUAGUUUAGGGUACUCAGUGCCCAAACUUCAACCCUAUGAUUUACCAAUCUGUUUCUUUGCCGGGUUCAAGGUCCCCUAAAGACUACUCGGCAAAAGAUUUCUAAAACUCAACUGAUAAAUUGUCAUCUGAAAUUUGAUAAUAAAUCAAGUAUA